GAUGAACGCUGGCGGCGUGCCUAAUACAUGCAAGUCGAGCGGUAACACUUCGGGUGACGAGCGGCGGACGGCUGAGUAACACGUAGGAACGUACCCCAGAGUGAGGGAUAAGCACCGGAAACGGUGUCUAAUACCGCAUAACCUCUUCGGAGAAAAGCUUCGGCGCUUUGGGAACGGCCUGCGCAUGAUUAGCUUGUUGGUGAGGUAAAAGCUCACCAAGGCGACGAUCAUUAGCUGGUCUGAGAGGAUGAUCAGCCAGACUGGGACUGA
rnacentral:rRNA from 1 species